CAAAAUAGUCACUUUUCACUGU
rnacentral:snRNA from 1 species